ACGGUGAGUAACACGUAUCCAACCUGCCGUCUACUCUUGGCCAGCCUUCUGAAAGGAAGAUUAAUCCAGGAUGGGAUCAUGAGUUCACAUGUCCGCAUGAUUAAAGGUAUUUUCCGGUAGACGAUGGGGAUGCGUUCCAUUAGAUAGUAGGCGGGGUAACGGCCCACCUAGUCAACGAUGGAUAGGGGUUCUGAGAGGAAGGUCCCCCACAUUGGAACUGAGGCACGGUCCAA
rnacentral:rRNA from 1 species